GGAGGCGUAGGCUAAUUGGUAAGUCAUCGGUCUUGAAAACCGACGCCCGUAAGGGCUUGGGGGUUCGAGUCCCUCCGCCUCCGCCA
rnacentral:tRNA from 1 species